rnacentral:ribozyme from 13 species
UGAUCUCCCAUUUUGAUUUCCGUUUUGAUUUCCUUCUUUUUCUUUUUCUUUUUUGUUGUUUCUUUGAAAACAGAAAACAAGAAAAGAAAAAAAUGCAACACGAUCAAGUCAAAGAAUACUAUGGAAAGGUC